GAUGAACGCUGGCGGCGUGCCUAAUACAUGCAAGUCGAGCGAACGGACGAGAAGCUUGCUUCUCUGAUGUUAGCGGCGGACGGGUGAGUAACACGUGGAUAACCUACCUAUAAGACUGGGAUAACUUCGGGAAACCGGAGCUGAUACCGGAUAAUAUUUUGAACCGCAUGGUUCAAAAGUGAAAGACGGUCUUGCUGUCACUUAUAGAUGGAUCCGCGCUGCAUUAGCUAGUUGGUAAGGUAACGGCUUACCAAGGCAACGAUGCAUAGCCGACCUGAGAGGGUGAUCGGCCACACUGGAACUGAGACACGGUCCAGACUCCUACGGGAGGCAGCAGUAGGGAAUCUUCCGCAAUGGGCGAAAGCCUGACGGAGCAACGCCGCGUGAGUGAUGAAGGUCUUCGGAUCGUAAAACUCUGUUAUUAGGGAAGAACAUAUGUGUAAGUAACUGUGCACAUCUUGACGGUACCUAAUCAGAAAGCCACGGCUAACUACGUGCCAGCAGCCGCGGUAAUACGUAGGUGGCAAGCGUUAUCCGGAAUUAUUGGGCGUAAAGCGCGCGUAGGCGGUUUUUUAAGUCUGAUGUGAAAGCCCACGGCUCAACCGUGGAGGGUCAUUGGAAACUGGAAAACUUGAGUGCAGAAGAGGAAAGUGGAAUUCCAUGUGUAGCGGUGAAAUGCGCAGAGAUAUGGAGGAACACCAGUGGCGAAGGCGACUUUCUGGUCUGUAACUGACGCUGAUGUGCGAAAGCGUGGGGAUCAAACAGGAUUAGAUACCCUGGUAGUCCACGCCGUAAACGAUGAGUGCUAAGUGUUAGGGGGUUUCCGCCCCUUAGUGCUGCAGCUAACGCAUUAAGCACUCCGCCUGGGGAGUACGACCGCAAGGUUGAAACUCAAAGGAAUUGACGGGGACCCGCACAAGCGGUGGAGCAUGUGGUUUAAUUCGAAGCAACGCGAAGAACCUUACCAAAUCUUGACAUCCUUUGACAACUCUAGAGAUAGAGCCUUCCCCUUCGGGGGACAAAGUGACAGGUGGUGCAUGGUUGUCGUCAGCUCGUGUCGUGAGAUGUUGGGUUAAGUCCCGCAACGAGCGCAACCCUUAAGCUUAGUUGCCAUCAUUAAGUUGGGCACUCUAAGUUGACUGCCGGUGACAAACCGGAGGAAGGUGGGGAUGACGUCAAAUCAUCAUGCCCCUUAUGAUUUGGGCUACACACGUGCUACAAUGGACAAUACAAAGGGCAGCGAAACCGCGAGGUCAAGCAAAUCCCAUAAAGUUGUUCUCAGUUCGGAUUGUAGUCUGCAACUCGACUACAUGAAGCUGGAAUCGCUAGUAAUCGUAGAUCAGCAUGCUACGGUGAAUACGUUCCCGGGUCU
rnacentral:rRNA from 1 species